rnacentral:lncRNA from 1 species
ACUUGCAGCUCAGCUUCCUGCCUCCUGCUUGACCCGGGAGCACCAGCAGGCUGCCGGCCUCGCCCUCAGCUCCCGCCUCCUCUCGCAACCCCGCGGCCUCGGGGCGCCGGCGGGGGUUCCUGCGGCCUGGGCUGCAGCAGGGGCGCGCGGGGGCGCGGGGUCCCGCCGGGGAGCGCGCACGGAGCGGCGCCUCGGCCGCCCCGCUUCCUGGAGCUGUGCUCCUUUGACCCCAGUGGCAGUCCCUGUCACUGCACCGCUCGCGCUCCCUCCGGCUCGCCGCGCCCUCGCUCCCUCUCCUCGCCCCCUCGCUCGCUCUCUGCCCAGAUCGAGGCUCUCCCGUCCUUUCUCCCCCGCCUCCCUCUCGCGCCGCGCCCCCGGCCCCCCGCCCCGGCCCGCCGCGGGACCUCCAGGGUCGAAGGUUCUGGCCCGCCCGCGCCCCCUCCGCCCCCGCGCCCCGGCCGCCGGCUCGGGCCGCUCGGCGAUGGAUCGCCUGCUCGCCGGGCGCUGAAGGCAUCCCCGGACCGGAGCGCAGCCCGGAAAGGUAAUCCGCCCGGGAAGGGAGGCGCGGGGCGGGGGAGGGGGAGCGGCCGGGCGCCCGGUGCCGCGCGCGGAGGAGGGGAGAGAGGCGCACACAAAGCGCAGCCGGAGAGGUGCCCGGCCGAGGCGCGUGCGGGCGCGGGGCUGCGGACCGCGGCUGCCCCGGCCCCGGCGUUGGCGCGGGCGGGCGCUCCCCGGGCAGUUCGGGACCCGAGCGGGGCUCGUUUUCCGCCCCGGGCGAGGGCGAUUCCUCUUUCGGAGCCGUCUCCCGGCUCCCCAUCGCGCCCCUCUGCCCUUCCCCCUUCCCCGCCCUCGGCCCCGACCUCGCGGGUCCCACCUCCCGCCCCCUCCUCCGCCGGGUGUCGCGGGGGCAGCGGCCGAGCGGGCGGCGGGGCCGGGGGUGGGGACGCGGGCGCGGCGAGCUGCCGCCGCGGGUCCGGGCUCCGCGCCCCGGCCGCCGGCCUAGGCCCGGUGCAUUGUGUCGGCCGAGCGCGGUGCGGGCCGGGGAGGCGCCGUCAGCUUUGUGCUCCGGCCGUGCCCGCCGCCGGCCCCGCGCCCGUCCCCGCGGCCCACGCGCGCAGCCUGCCCCGAGCCGGCCACCCGCGGGCGGGCACGGCGGAAAAAGUAGCCGUGCGGCCGAUGGCUCCUCGGGAGAGGCGGGAGUUUCUUCGCUAUUUACACGUAACACGGAGACCUUCGGAGGGCCGUGGAAUUCCGGGGUUUUGCGGCCUAGGAGGUGAAGGGGGCAUUUUUCUGGAGCUUGGGGAGGAGGCUAGGAUCCACCAGCAAGGAAAGAAAUUAAGGAUGCCCCCGUGGGGUGGAUUUGUAGCACAUUUACCUUCCCCCUCCCUCCGCACACGCCAGAUGAAGUGCAAAUGCGGGUCAUGGAAAAUGUGUAAUUGA